CUCUUUCUUAUGCGCGAACACCUCCCGAUUCAUCUCCCUCUCUCGAUUUACUCACCGUCGCCGCUCAAUCUAUCUUUUCCCGUCUCCGCCUGUUCUCCACCUCACGAGCAUCGCAGGCCGGUUUACGAUGAGCCUAAGCACCGACAUAGAUCUAUCAUUAUCUCCUUCGGGUUGUGCCCUACCCAUCUCCACUAUCGCUUUCCCUCUCGCCACUGCCUAAUGCUGUCGCUGCCGCUGCCACCCGAGGCCGCGCCAUCCUCCGUCGAUUGCUGGGCAUCGCUGUCGACCCUCUCCUCCUUAGACGACAGCUCGACCAGGGGUUAGGCGAUGCGCUGGCUGCGCACAAGUCUCACUGAGUCGAGCCCUAACCUCUCGGUAUGCUCCCGAUCCUUCUCAGUCGCCACCCUCCGCCUGAUCCAACGCCUCAGCCAUCACCUGGCACCAACGUCGACAUACGCCGACCACCAUCUCUAGUCAGGCACCGUCGACCCCACAGUAGACCACCUAUUCCUGGGAUUCCCUUCGAGAUAGUGCCCUAGUCAUCGCCACUUGCACUGCCGGUGAGUGGUUGUCUUGAGCAAAUUUUCUUCCUCACUGGGACUAGCUCCUCUUGCGUGUUCUUGUCAGGAUGAGCUCCAACAACGGCUUCACGGUCACAUACUCAUCAGCUAUUUACCUUUGUUUUGGUUGUGAGCUUGAUCUUGCUUCUACUGACCCAUUUAUUUUCGGAUUGACAAGGAGCAGUUCCAUCAGAUCACUGAUGAGGACUUUGAUUCGAGACGAGCUUCUCGAUCUGGGAGUUAUAUUGGCAUGAUCUACAUUUAAGGCGGGUACUUCUUGCUUUAUCUCUUUAGUACUGUGACCCUAGUGCAUUGAUGGACCUACACAUCUCUGAUUGGGGUCAUUUCAAGUUUUGUGAGUUUCUAGUAUUCCAAGGACUCCAACAGUAUUAUCCAUUAUUGAUUUAAAGAUCCCUAGGGGUGAUCAAACAUUAUGAAACAUCGCAGCCUUAUUUUGGGCCUAAUAUGCUGACCCGGAGCAGCUUCGCCCAGGCGGGUGCCUGGGGUGCCCUGGCGGUCCGGCCCCAGACCCGAAAAAUCAUCUAUAAGAUGAUGUGGAGUGCGUCGAGUCAUGUGGUCCAAGUGCCCAGAGGAGUUCCAAGCACCCGAAAUGGACCUAUUUAAAGGUCUUCGACCAAGAGCUUCAGAACAACAACUACUAUAAGUUUUUCUCCUGAUCGGUGCUCCGAAAAAGUUCCUACGAUGCUGUGAAGCUCCUCCGACAACUGUUGACCAAGACUUUUCAUAUUUUCUUUAUUGUCGGUAACUUUUAUUUCUAAUUCAUGUACUUAACUCUUGUAACACAUUUUGCAAACUAUUAGUGGAUUGUCUGACGAAAGUA